GCAUUAGUAGCUCAGGGUUAAAGCGCCGGUCUUGUAAGCCGGAUACGAAGGUUAAAGUCCUUCCUUUUGCU
rnacentral:tRNA from 1 species